rnacentral:rRNA from 1 species
UACGUAGGGUGCAAGCGUUAAUCGGAAUUACUGGGCGUAAAGCGUGCGCAGGCGGUUGUGCAAGACAGAUGUGAAAUCCCCGGGCUCAACCUGGGAAUGGCAUUUGUGACUGCACGGCUAGAGUGUGUCAGAGGGGGUAGAAUUCCACGUGUAGCAGUGAAAUGCGUAGAUAUGUGGAGGAAUACCGAUGGCGAAGGCAGCCCCCUGGGAUAACACUGACGCUCAUGCACGAAAGCGUGGGGAGCAAACAGG